ensembl:snRNA U4 U4 spliceosomal RNA
AGCUUUGCACGGUGGCAGUAUCGUAGCCAAUGAGAUUUACCUGAGGUGCAAUUAUUGCUAAUUGAAAACUUUUCCCUAUAGCCUGAUGACUUGCUAUAUAGUUGGCACUGGCAAUUUUUGACGGUCUCUAGGAAGA